CUGACUUCAGCCUGAGAAAGUGUCCUUUCGCCUGUUAGGCAAAGAUCAACAGUCCGCAGCCUACACAGGUGGCCUUGAGGAAUAGGGCAGGGAGUCGUUAUCAUAUCACUUGGAAGAAUGUUGUUGUUCUCCUCGGCGUCAACCUUCAAGCAGCUGGCGCGGUCGGGGAUGGGGUUAUAGCUGCAUUAGAGAUGGAGGUAACUGGUGUAGGGCGAACGAACUGCAUCCAUUUUUCAGGCUCCCCAGAGUGCAAAAACCCAAGGAGGACCACCGGAGAGGAAACCGCGCCACCCUCCUGGAAAGAGCUGAGGAGAGCCCCAGACGUGGGGUCACCCAGCAAUCACGGUGCAGAAGCCACAGAGGGCCGUAGUGACGAGCCCGCAGGCCCAGCAGGCAGCCUCCCGCACCAGAGCGGACCGAGCUGGGGUCCCAGAAGCCUAAGGACCGAGGGCACCCCACCCCCCAGAGGGGGCCUGACCCAGCCACGGGCGCCAGGCCCGUUAAUGUUUAAUGAAAGUAAAAUGACACAGUUUCUUUUCUGAUGUUUUGCAGAGGUAAACAAGAUGAAUAAAUAUGCAGUGGAUGUAACUCUGGAUCCUGCUACUGCUGCUGGCUGGGUGGUCCUGUCCCCGGAUGGUAAAAAGGUGAGCCUGAGCUCCCAGCAGUGGAGGAACCCGCUACCUGACGACCCCCGCAGGUUCAACUCCUGCGUCGCUGUGCUGGGAAAACAAAGCUUCACAUCUGGGAAACGUUACUGGGUGGUUCAGGUUGGGGACAAAAGAGACUGGGAUCUUGGGGUGGCCCGGGAGUCCAUCAACAGGAAGGGUGCCAUCACAAUUUGCCCUGACAACGGUUACUGGGCGAUAUGCUGACGUAGCGGUGGUAGCCUGUGCGCCUGCGCUGGACCUUCCGUCACCCUUCACCUUAAAGAAAUUCCUCAGAAAGUCGGUAUAUUCCUGGACUAUGACGAAGGCUCGGUUUCCUUCUACAACACAGAGGCAAAGACUCACAUUUAUACUUACAGUGGGCUCACUUUCACCGAGCCGCUGUAUCCGUACUUUAACCCCUGCAUACAUGACACCGGGAAGAACACGGCCCCGCUGGUUAUCUGCCCGAUCGAGGCUGGGAUCACUGUAGACACUUCAGCACGUUGAACAAGAGACUCGGAGGAUCCUUGUUAAAACCUCAAGAGUAUCCACAUUAGUUGUCUGGAUAAGUUGUAAUCUGUAAAUGCAAACAAAAGGCACUUGGAGCAGAACGAAAGACCAAGAACAGGAGAAAAUAUUCUCCUGAAUUUGUACGUGCUUUGUCUCUAGGGGCCACCGUAAAUAUACUUUUAUUUAUUCACUCCACAUAAAAUGUAAUAAAUAACUAUUUAACAUUUCAACUUUUAACUAUUUAAAUUUUCAGCUUUUUCCUUUUAAACAAAUUUAAAGUGAAACAACACAAAACACUGCAAACCACAACACAAUUAAAUAUAAAUUAAAAUAUGAAACAAAAAGAAGAUGCACAUUCUCUGUCAUAUGGGCCUGCAUGAAUAAACUUUCUGAAC
ensembl:lncRNA